rnacentral:rRNA from 1 species
GACGAACGCUGGCGGCGUGCUUAACACAUGCAAGUCGAACGGAAAGGCCCUGCUUUUGUGGGGUGCUCGAGUGGCGAACGGGUGAGUAACACGUGAGUAACCUGCCCUUGACUUUGGGAUAACUUCAGGAAACUGGGGCUAAUACCGGAUAGGAGCUCCUGCUGCAUGGUGGGGGUUGGAAAGUUUCGGCGGUUGGGGAUGGACUCGCGGCUUAUCAGCUUGUUGGUGGGGUAGUGGCUUACCAAGGCUUUGACGGGUAGCCGGCCUGAGAGGGUGACCGGCCACAUUGGGACUGGGAUACGGCCCAGACUCCUACGGGAGGCAGCAGUGGGGAAUAUUACAUAAUGGGCGGAAGCCUGAUGCAGCAACGCCGCGUGCGGGAUGACGUCCUUCGGGUUGUAAACCGCUUUCGCCUGUGACGAAGCGUGAGUGACGGUAAUGGGUAAAGAAGCACCGGCUAACUACGUG